rnacentral:rRNA from 1 species
CCUACGGGGGGCAGCAGUGAGGAAUAUUGGUCAAUGGGCGUAAGCCUGAACCAGCCAAGUCGCGUGAGGGAUGAAGGUUCUAUGGAUCGUAAACCUCUUUUAUAAGGGAAUAAAGUGCGGGACGUGUCCCGUUUUGUAUGUACCUUAUGAAUAAGGAUCGGAUAACUCCGUGCCAGCAGCCGCGGUAAUACGGAGGUUCCGGGCGUUAUCCGGAUUUAUUGGGUUUAAAGGGUGCGUAGGCGGCCUUUUAAGUCAGCGGGGAAAGUCGGUGGCUCAACCAUAGAAUUGCCGUUGAAACUGGGAGGCUUGAGUAUGUUUGAGGCAGGCGGAAUGCGUGGUGUAGCGGUGAAAUGCUUAGAUAUCACGCAGAACCCCGAUUGCGAAGGCAGCCUGCCAAGCCAUGACUGACGCUGAUGCACGAAAGCGUGGGGAUCAAACAGGAUUAGAUACCCUGGUAGUC